rnacentral:rRNA from 1 species
UACGAAGGGGGCUAGCGUUGCUCGGAAUCACUGGGCGUAAAGCACACGUAGGCGGAUUGUUAAGUCAGGGGUGAAAUCCUGGAGCUCAACUCCAGAACUGCCUUUGAUACUGGCGAUCUCGAGUUCGGGAGAGGUGAGUGGAACUGCGAGUGUAGAGGUGAAAUUCGUAGAUAUUCGCAAGAACACCAGUGGCGAAGGCGGCUCACUGGCCCGAUACUGACGCUGAGGUGCGAAAGCGUGGGGAGCAAACAGG